rnacentral:lncRNA from 1 species
GGUAUCCUCCUGGCACUGUGGUGACCAUCUCCUUGGAUAAGGGACAUCUUCUGCCAUACAGCUCUUUCCCAGGGAUCUAAGUGAGAGAUGCUGAUUGUGCCAGAGCCAACAGAAGGAUGAGUGGAGCUCCAUUUUGGUUUGUUGCAGGGAGGGCAGUGAGUUGGGGCAGCCAUGCCCAGUCUAGGAGUGGAAUUCCUUCUCCUUGAUCAGUGGCCUGGUCUGAGAAGUUUGGUGAUGGCACCGAUUGGAGAGCACUGGAACUGCACCAAUGGGAGUGUUCCGAGAUUACCUCAACUAAUGAUCACCUCGUGCACGGGUGAGGUUGUAUCUUGGAGCUGAAUUCUUCAGAGACUGGCAUCUGGGCAGGAGCAUUUCUCCUGGUGGAACAGCUGACGUGUCUUGGACAUCAUGUUGGAUGUGAUGGACACAAUGCCAAAGAAGAGACAGUGCCAUUUGCACAUGAUAUGAGAAAAUCAAAAUUCGGGCUCAGCAUGUAUCUUCUGCAGAUCACCUGGGGCUUUAUCAGUUGAAUUAAAGUUUAUUCAUUUUGGUAUGAAAAUACGACAGUAGAUGAUAAUUGGAAGAGGAGACUGCAGAUGGCAAAGAACUAUUAAAAUCUGCAAAUCGUGCUCUGUGAGCCUGCUCUGAGUUCAAAUAUUUUACUGUAAAUUAAUUAUGGUCUUGCUGUCAAAGUGAGAAGAUGGGAGUAUUUAUGGAAGGGAAGCAAAGUGAUGUAAUCUAAAAAUAAAGUAGUUUAGGCUGAAUAAGAGAAAAAAAUGGGGACAAAAUCUUCCAGUAAUCUAGCUCUAGCUUCCUCAUCUUGAUGAUCAUUUGACUGAGUUUGUUCUCCACUGCUGCAAAAUAUUAUAAGAUCAAAAAGGCUGACCUAUAUGGAAAUUUCUGUUGGAAAAUGAGACGUGAUCACCCUGCUUUUCUGAUGCAAGUAAAGUUUAAUAAUAAUUCAAUCAAACAUAGAGAAAUAGAGUUGGAAAAAAAGCUCCAAACAACAAAACCACACCUCUUUGGGGAGAUCUUCCCCCUUUCCCAGCCUGUCUUUCAAAUAUGACAACGCUUUUUCUAUUUAGGCAGUGUUCUAUGCAAGUAGUGAGGCUAUUGGCCUAUGAGGGCAGGAGAAUCCUUAGGGAA